rnacentral:rRNA from 1 species
CACGUAGGGUGCGAGCGUUGUCCGGAAUUAUUGGCGUAAAGAGCUCGUAGGCGGUGUGUCGCGUCGGCCGUGAAAACCUGCAGCUUAACUGUGGGCUUGCGGUCGAUACGGGCAUCACUGGAGUUCGGCAGGGGAGACUGGAAUUCCUGGUGUAGCGGUGAAAUGCGCAGAUAUCAGGAGGAACCACCGGUGGCGAAGGCGGCGCUCUGGGCCGGUACUGACACUGAGGAGCGGAAAGCGUGGGUAGCAAACAGG